CAGUUUGCACACAGCCAUCCCAAACAGCAGCCAAGAGGUGGGACAUGAGCCGCUGUCUCCCAUGCUCGGCCGUAAUCUCUUCAGAACCCCUGUGUACCAGCUGCCAGGACUCUUUGCCUACGCCAAGCACAUCGUGGCUAUUGAUGGGAAGAUGGGUUUGUUUCGAGGCCUGACCCCCCGGUUGUGCGCAGGAGCUGUGGGCACCGUCGUACACAGUAAAGUGCUACAGGUACA